rnacentral:rRNA from 1 species
UGGAAGUAAAAAAUCGUAACAAGGUUUCCGUAG